rnacentral:piRNA from 1 species
UCUUCGCAUAUCACUGGAACCUGAGA